AAAAAAUCUUAUUACAAGAGUCACUUCAACUCUGCGGAGUGAGGGGAAGUGAUGUCAUCAUUAAAUGACUUAGAAUUUAACCCGUGUAAGUAGUAUCAAUGUUUGAGGGGACUUCAUCAAUCUUCAGUAUAUCUCUGACCAAGAUGGCGAACAUGGGCAUAUUCCGUCUGUGUUUUAAAUUCGUUUUUAUCAUAUACAUAAUACGGCCCGUGUCUCCUCAAAUAAUGUAUGAGAACAUUAAAUAAACCAAAUAACAUUAAGGAAUUUCACGGAACUUUUACCGAAAAUAUGAAGAGAACCGCAUGUUCUGAUAGUGUGGAAGCGUGUGGGAAUCGGCUUUAUAAAUGUGGCAUUCAAAAUCAAUUACUUGUCGAGACUUUGCGCGGUGUACAAAAAGUUCAAGUGUUGCAGAGCAAAUGUGGGAUUCGCAUUCAAAAAUUAGAAAUGAACGUUUCGGAGUCUUUCAGCACAAUCAGUUCCUUAAACAGAUCCCUGUUACAGGUAAAUCUUAAACUUCAGGAUUGCGAAAAUAAACUCAACACCGAGAACAAAGAAAUGACCGCAUUAAGUAAAUCCAUUUAUAUUUGUAAUCGGUCGUUAGAAGGAAGUACAACAAAUAUUACAAAUAUUAUGUCUACUCUGAACACCACCAAACAAAUAUUGUAUCGAACAAUUGAGGAUUUAGGACGAACGUCAAGAGACCUAGAUCAGGAGAGGGCGAAAGUGAGAGCCAUCAACGGCAGCUUAGUACGUUGUGACAACCAAAGCUAUGCAAGCUGCGACGUUGAGUACACUUAAAGAAAAGGAGUGAAACUUUAUCUAACUUAACGUCUACUUUAUUAACAUUGCAAUCCGUUAAAGCCGAUCAUCAAGAUUGUUUAGGACAUCUUCAGGUUAAAAAUGUCACGAGUGUGGAAUGUGCUCAGCAGAGUUCGUUAUUGAAUGACUCUUUGAUAAAUUGUGAAAAUAGAUUGGGUAAUUUUAGAAACAUUUUUUCGGAUUGCGUGGUGAGAAUGUCUGGGAUUGAGAAUGAAUUAUUAGAAAUAAAAAAUAUCCAGGAAAGACAGCGGAUGGAUUUGACAAGUACCACGCUGCAAUUGAUGGAAUUGAAUAAUACUUUGCAGAAGUGCGAAGCGAAUCUUUCAGAUUCGAAGCAAAAUAUCUCUGAAUAUGCCCUCGCUGUCAUAUUGAUGAAGACAAAUAUUUCUACAGCAAUAUCUGAAUGUGUAAACGAAACUAAAAGAUUGGAGGAACGAAUUCAAAACUGUGAAACUUGUUAAAAAUAAACUCAAAAAAUUUCUCCGAGUUUGUGAAUCAUGUAUCGCUUCCAAACUUAUCUUUCUUACAAACGCUGAGUGAUUUUAAAAACAAAACGAAUGAAUUAGAAAAGGAAUUAUUAGAGUAUAAAUCCAAAUUUGAGACGAUAAAGUUCCUGCCGAAAAGAAUGCUAAAAUGGACGGUGAACGAUUUAUGUACACACAUGCCAAAUAUUCGCUUCGAAAACCCCGAGCUUUGUCCUUUUUUCUACGACUGCAGCCAAUCCGAUUCUAUUCUCCAGCAAUGCGCUUAUCCUCGUAUAUAUUCCGACAUCAACUUGAGAUGUGAAGAUCCGACUUCUGUUGACUGUGGGACAAGAAAUAUUUCCUACGGCUACACGCGUGACUUUGAAACUACUAGCGAUGCGGGGUGUUUCUUGACUGAUUCCAAUGCAGGGGACUUUACCUGGAGCAGACACAAGGGUUCCACAUAUUCAUCAAAUACAGGACCGGGUUCUGCAUACAAUGGCUCGUACUAUAAAUAUAUCGAGGCCUCCAGUCCCAGAGUGAAUGGUGAUACUGCAAUAUUGGAGAGUAACAAACAAUUUCAAGGUAGAGAGCUUUUCCGCAAACGUUUAUUUCAUCGUUCAGAAUCACAGACACACAAUUGCAAGCGGAUAAUGGCGAUAGAAAAUC